rnacentral:rRNA from 1 species
UAAUUGAAGAGUUUGAUCAUGGCUCAGAUUGAACGCUGGCGGCAGGCCUAACACAUGCAAGUCGGGCGGUAACAGGGAGAAGCUUGCUUCUCUGCUGACGAGCGGCGGACGGGUGAGUAAUGUAUGGGGAUCUGCCUGAUGGCGGGGGAUAACUACUGGAAACGGUAGCUAAUACCGCAUAAUGUCUACGGACCAAAGCGGGGGACCUCCGGGCCUCGCGCCAUCAGAUGAACCCAUAUGGGAUUAGCUUGUAGGUGAGGUAACGGCU